rnacentral:rRNA from 1 species
UUGGGGAAUAUUGCACAAUGGGCGAAAGCCUGAUGCAGCAACGCCGCGUGAGGGACGACGGCCUUCGGGUUGUAAACCUCUUUUAGUAGGGAAGAAGCGAAAGUGACGGUACCUGCAGAAAAAGCACCGGCUAACUACGUGCCAGCAGCCGCGGUAAUACGUAGGGUGCAAGCGUUAUCCGGAAUUAUUGGGCGUAAAGAGCUCGUAGGCGGUCUGUCGCGUCUGCUGUGAAAACUGGAGGCUCAACCUCCAGCCUGCAGUGGGUACGGGCAGACUAGAGUGCGGUAGGGGAGAUUGGAAGUCCUGGUGUAGCGGUGGAAUGCGCAGAUAUCAGGAGGAACACCGAUGGCGAAGGCAGAUCUCUGGGCCGUAACUGACGCUGAGGAGCGAAAGCGUGGGGAGCGAACAGGAUUAGAUACCCCUGUAGUCC